UCCUCCGCGAAACCGCUGGCAGUUCUUGGCGGCUCUAUCGAGGCUUAGCCGGUGUGCCCUGAAUCGCAAACACCG
rnacentral:tRNA from 1 species